AGUGAACGCUGGCGGCAGGCCUAACACAUGCAAGUCGAGCGGCAGCGGGUCCUUCGGGAUGCCGGCGAGCGGCGGACGGGUGAGUAAUACAUCCGAAUCUGCCCUGUCUUUGGGGAUAACCUAGCGAAACUUAGGCUAAUACCGCAUACGACCUACGGUUGAAAGCGGGGGAUCGCUAGACCUCGCGCGACAGGAUGAGCCGAUGUCCGAUUAGCUAGUUGGCUGGGUAAAGGCCUACCAAGGCGACGAUCGGUAGCUGGUCUGAGAGGAUGAUCAGCCACACUGGGACUGAGACACGGCCCAGACUCCUACGGGAGGCAGCAGUGGGGAAUAUUGGACAAUGGGCGCAAGCCUGAUCCAGCCAUGCCGCGUGGGUGAAGAAGGCCUUCGGGUUGUAAAGCCCUUUUGUCAGGGAAGAAAUCGUCUGGGCUAAUACCCCGGGCGGAUGACGGUACCGGAAGAAUAAGCACCGGCUAACUUCGUG
rnacentral:rRNA from 1 species